GUAGGCUCCAUGCCCAACAUGGGGAUUGAACUCAGGACCCUGAGAUCAAGAGUCAUAUGCUCUUCUGAUUGAGCUAGCCAGGCAACCCCAAACAUUCAUAUUU